ensembl:lncRNA
GAGUAAGGGUGUUUGGAGGAGAGAGAGGGGGAGUAAGGGUGUUUGGAGGAGAGAGAGGGGGAGUAAGGGUGUUUGGAGGAGAGAGAGGGGGAGUAAAGGGUGUUUGGAGGAGAGAGAGGGGGAGUAAGGGUGUUUGGAGGAGAGAGAGGGGAGUAAGGGUGUUUGGAGGAGAGAGAGGGGAGUAAGGGUGUUUGGAGGAGAGAGAGGGGGAGUAAGGGUGUUUGGAGGAGAGAGAGGGGGAGUAAGGGUGUUGGGAGGAGAGAGAGGGGGAGUAAGGGUGUUUGGAGGAGAGAGAGGGGGGAUAAGGGUGUUGGGAGGAGAGAGAGGGGGAGUAAGGGUGUUUGGAGGAGAGAGGGGGAGUAAAGGGUGUUUGGAGGAGAGAGGGGGAGUAAGGGUGUUUGGAGGAGAGAGGGGGAGUAAGGGUGUUUGGAGGGGGAGUAAGGGUGUUUGGAGGAGAGAGGGGGAGUAAGGGUGUUUGGAGGAGAGAGGGGGAGUAAGGGUGUUUGGAGGGGAAGAGGGGGGAGUAAGGGUGUUUGGAGGAGAGAGAGGGGGAGUAAGGGUGUUUGGAGGAGAGAGAGGGGGAGUAAGGGUGUUUGGAGGAGAGAGAGGGGGAGUAAGGGUGUUGGGAGGAGAGAGAGGGGGAGUAAGGGUGUUUGGAGGAGAGAGGGGGGGAGUAAAGGGUGUUUGGAGGAGAGAG